CGAAGGGGGCUAGCGUUGUUCGGAAUCACUGGGCGUAAAGGGCGCGUAGGCGGCCGCUCAAGUCGGGGGUGAAAGCCUGUGGCUCAACCACAGAAUGGCCUUCGAUACUGGACGGCUUGAGACCGGAAGAGGUCAGUGAACUGCGAGUGUAGAGGUGAAAUUCGUAGAUAUUCGCAAGAACACCAGUGGCGAAGGCGGCUGACUGGUCCGGUUCUGACGCUGAGGCGCGAAAGCGUGGGGAGCAAACAGGAUUAGAUACCCUGGUAGUCCACGCUGUAAACGAUGGAUGCUAGCCGUUGGCGCGCUUGCGCGUCAGUGGCGCCGCUAACGCUUUAAGCAUCCCGCCUGGGGAUACGGUCGCAAGAUUA
rnacentral:rRNA from 1 species